UACGUGAGGGGCGAACGUUGUUCGGUGUCACUGGGCUUAAAGGGUGCGUAGGUGGUUGCGUAAGUAAGGUGUGAAAUCCCUCGGCUUACCCGGGGAAUUGCAUUUUAUACUGCGUGGCUUGAGGACUAAAGGGGAAAAGGGAACUCCAGGUGUAGCGGUGGAAAUGCGCAGAUAUCUGGGGGAAGGCCGGCGGCGAAGGCGCUUUUCUGGUUAGUACCUGACACUGAGGCACGAAAGCGUGGGGAGCAAACAGG
rnacentral:rRNA from 1 species